AGAGUUUGAUCCUGGCUCAGGAUGAACGCUGGCGGCGUGCUUAACACAUGCAAGUCGAACGAAACACCUUAUUUGAUUUUCUUCGGAACUGAAGAUUUGGUGAUUGAGUGGCGGACGGGUGAGUAACGCGUGGGUAACCUGCCCUGUACAGGGGGAUAACAGUCAGAAAUGACUGCUAAUACCGCAUAAGACCACAGCACCGCAUGGUGCAGGGGUAAAAACUCCGGUGGUACAGGAUGGACCCGCGUCUGAUUAGCUGGUUGGUGAGGUAACGGCUCACCAAGGCGACGAUCAGUAGCCGGCUUGAGAGAGUGAACGGCCACAUUGGGACUGAGACACGGCCCAAACUCCUACGGGAGGCAGCAGUGGGGAAUAUUGCACAAUGGGGGAAACCCUGAUGCAGCGACGCCGCGUGAGUGAAGAAGUAUCUCGGUAUGUAAAGCUCUAUCAGCAGGGAAGAAAAUGACGGUACCUGACUAAGAAGCCCCGGCUAACUACGUGCCAGCAGCCGCGGUAAUACGUAGGGGGCAAGCGUUAUCCGGAAUUACUGGGUGUAAAGGGUGCGUAGGUGGUACGGCAAGUCUGAUGUGAAAGCCCGGGGCUCAACCCCGGUACUGCAUUGGAAACUGUCGGACUAGAGUGUCGGAGGGGUAAGUGGAAUUCCUAGUGUAGCGGUGAAAUGCGUAGAUAUUAGGAGGAACACCAGUGGCGAAGGCGGCUUACUGGACGAUUACUGACGCUGAGGCUCGAAAGCGUGGGGAGCAAACAGGAUUAGAUACCCUGGUAGUCCACGCCGUAAACGAUGA
rnacentral:rRNA from 1 species